rnacentral:rRNA from 1 species
GAUGAACGCUGGCGGCGUGCCUAAUACAUGCAAGUCGAGCGAACAGACGAGGAACUUGCUCCUCUGACGUUAGCCGCGGACGGGUGAGUAACACGUGGAUAACCUACCUAUAAGACUGGGAUAACUUCGGGAAACCGGAGCUAAUACCGGAUAAUAUAUUGAACCGCAUGGUUCAUUAGUGAAAGACGGUUUUGCUGUCACUUAUAGAUGGAUCUGCGCCGCAUUAGCUAGUUGGUAAGGUAACGGCUUACCAAGGCAACGAUGCGUAGACGACGUGAGAGGGGGAUCGGCCACAUUGGAGCUGAGACGCGGUCCAGACGCCUGCGAGACGCCGCAGAAGGGAAUCGGCCGCAAUGGGCGAAAGCCUGACGGAGCAGCGCGACGUGAGUGAUGACGGUCUUGGGAGCGGAAAACUGUGUUAUUAGGGAAAAACAAAUGUGUAAGUAACUAUGCACGUCUUGACGGUACCUGGUCAGAAAGCCACGGCUAACUACGUG